AUAACAUGACGCCAGUAACUAUCGGAUAAAAUGAAAUCUUUUUCAGAUGAACGACGGAUCGAUUAGCCAUUGAUUGUAGACCACUCGUACUGGAUACUAAUUUUUCUUGAACUUCCACUGCUCUUUGAGAGUUUUCCGUAUAAUUUUUUAUUUUUUAUUUCUUUUUGGCCUUGUUCGUUUUGCUUUUUCUGAUAUUUCCCUUUCUUCCCGCCUGGUUGGGCUAAACUCAUAUUUGGUCUAGCGGGCUUAUGGAGUUGGAUGAUCGGUAUGCGACAAUCUUCUUCCAAUUCAGUCACUUUUCAUCUUUUUUCCCCCCAGUUCCCUCUCUCUCUCUUGUCGAUGUAGGCAGAUAUUGUAACUACGCGUAUAACUAUACCCUGCUGUUUCAUUUUGUUCAUUAUUGCCCCA
rnacentral:sRNA from 1 species